rnacentral:rRNA from 1 species
GACGGAGGGUGCAAACGUUGUUCGGAAUUACUGGGCGUAAAGCGAGUGUAGGCGGUUUGGAAAGUCGGAUGUGAAAGCCCCGGGCUCAACCCGGGAAGUGCACUCGAUACUCCCAAGCUAGAGUAUCGGAGAGGUUGGCGGAAUUCUCGGUGUAGAGGUGAAAUUCGUAGAUAUCGAGAGGAACACCGGCGGCGAAGGCGGCCAACUGGACGAAUACUGACGCUGAGACUCGAAAGCGUGGGGAGCAAACAGG